UACGUAGGCAGCGAGCGUUGUUCGGAGUUACUGGGCGUAAAGGGUGUGUAGGCGGUUGUUUAAGUUUGGUGUGAAAUCUCCCGGCUCAACUGGGAGGUGCGCCGAAUACUGAGCGACUAGAGUGCGGGAGAGGAAAGUGGAAUUCCUGGUGUAGCGGUGAAAUGCGUAGAUAUCAGGAGGAACACCUGUGGUGUAGACAGCUUACUGGACCAUUUCUGACGCUGAGACACGAAAGCGUGGGUAGCAAACAGG
rnacentral:rRNA from 1 species